rnacentral:snoRNA from 1 species
UUCAGAGAGAUGAUGAUCGAGACCAAACUCCUCCAGAGCACCUCUGAAGUCUGAAACCUCACUUGCUUUUCCUCUCCUCUCCUCUUUCUUGAUGCUUCGUUUCUUGAAGGAACCAAAGUGAGAUGGACUGAUGGAGGAA